rnacentral:misc_RNA from 1 species
UUAAGUUCAGCGGGUAUCCUUACCUGAUUCGAGGUCAACCCAUAAUUUAUUCAAGAUGGGGAUCCAUGAUAGCAGUAUCAGAUAUACUAAACAACUAAUUCGUAUCCUGGAGACAUUUAUAAAGUCUGUUAUUUUAUACCCGAUAUCCACCUGAUGAAUUUUAGCAGAGUAUCUCGUAAGCAUAUGUACUAAAUAUACCC